GACUUCCUCACAUAGAAAGCUCUCUCUGUUGAAGUUCACUACCAGGACAGCACCUGCCCCUGGCUCAGCGCCCGGUGCCAACAGAACACCUUUCAGGAUCCACAGCAACGCAGACAACGAGUCCAGGAUCCCGGCCUCUGCUUGGAACGGAACAGUGUCAUGGCGGAGACGACGGCCUUUGUCUUGCUGGGUGUGAAAGCAUUCGCUGUGCUGGCUCCAGUGCGGCAGAAUCAAGUUUAAAGGAAAAAAGGUACAGACGCCAGCCGCUUGGCACACUCUGCUUUUCGCACUGGUGCAGGGGGGCCGGGAAAGCCCGCAGCAAAACUAGCAACUGCUGAGGAACGUUGCCUGCUUAUUGGAGUAGAGCCGAUAGAAGUCGACGUGGUGCUGCCUCAUC